CAUACGGGAGGCAGCAGUGGGGAAUAUUGGACAAUGGGCGAAAGCCUGAUCCAGCCAUGCCGCGUGUGUGAAGAAGGCCUUCGGGUUGUAAAGCACUUUCAGUGGGGAAGAAAGCCUUGGGGCUAAUACCCUCGAGGAAGGACAUCACCCACAGAAGAAGCACCGGCUAACUCCGUGCCAGCAGCCGCGGUAAUACGGAGGGUGCGAGCGUUAAUCGGAAUUACUGGGCGUAAAGCGCGCGUAGGCGGUCUGAUAAGCCGGUUGUGAAAGCCCCGGGCUCAACCUGGGAACGGCAUCCGGAACUGUCAGGCUAGAGUGCAGGAGAGGAAGGUAGAAUUCCCGGUGUAGCGGUGAAAUGCGUAGAGAUCGGGAGGAAUACCAGUGGCGAAGGCGGCCUUCUGGACUGACACUGACGCUGAGGUGCGAAAGCGUGGGUAGCAAACAGGAUUAGAUACCCCUGUAGUC
rnacentral:rRNA from 1 species